GAUGAACGCUGACAGAAUGCUUAACACAUGCCAGUCCACUUGAACUUCGGUUUGGGUGGCGGACGGGUGAGUAACGCGUAAAGAAUUUGCCUCACAGCUAGGGACAACAUUUGGAAACGAAUGCUAAUACCUGAUAUUAUGAUUAUAUGGCAUCGUAUAAUUAUGAAAGCUAUAUGCGCUGUGAGAGAGCUUUGCGUCCCAUUAGCUAGUUGGAGAGGUAACAGCUCACCAAGGCGAUGAUGGGUAGCCGGCCUGAGAGGGUGAUCGGCCACAAGGGGACUGAGACACGGCCCUUACGCCUACGGGAGGCAGCAGUGGGGAAUAUUGGACAAUGGACCGAGAGUCUGAUCCAGCAAUUCUGUGUGCACGAUGAAGUUUUUCGGAAUGUAAAGUGCUUUCAGUUGGGAAGAAAAAAAUGACGGUACCAACAGAAGAAGUGACGGCUAAAUACGUG
rnacentral:rRNA from 1 species